AGAGGGUGCAAACGUUGUUCGGAAUUACUGGGCGUAAAGCGCGUGUAGGCGGCAAGGCAAGUCGGGUGUGAAAGCCCCGGGCUCAACCCGGGAAGUGCAUUCGAUACUGCCAAGCUAGAGUCUCGGAGAGGAUGGUGGAACUCUCGGUGUAGAGGUGAAAUUCGUAGAUAUCGAGAAGAACACCGGUGGCGAAGGCGGCCAUCUGGACGGUGACUGACGCUGAGGCGCGAAAGCGUGGGUAGCAAACAGGAUUAGAUACCCUGGUAGUCCACGCCCUAAACGAUGGAUACUAGGCGUAAGAGGUAUCGACCCCUCUUGUGCCGCAGCUAACGCAUUAAGUAUCCCGCCUGGGGAGUACGGCCGCAAGGUUG
rnacentral:rRNA from 1 species